GGACUGGCCCUCCAUCAGACUCAGCAACACUUCCAUUCCGUGGGAAUCAGAAGGUGGAGGAGGAAGCGGAGGGCAGAAGGGCCUGCCCGGUUGGGGUUCUUCCGCAGGCAGCCGUUAGCUGUCUCUACCUCACUGACAACAGUGCAGAAUUGUGUAACGGCCCGGUUUCCCCUUUCUUGGCGGUUCCCAGCAGCUUUGAGCCAGCCCCGCUACCUGAGGGUGUCCGAUUCUGUACCCCGCUGGUUUCUGCAGAACAGCUGUUGGGUGACUGGAUCGGAGGUGACUGACCGUGACAAGCCUGCUGAUAACAGAAGACAAACAGCAGGAACCCCAAAGACUCUCUCUCUGGCUGGCAGGAUGAUGGAAAGGCCCAUCUGUGUACCAGUGUCUACAAUACAAACACUACAGGGUGCCACGGCAUGUCUGCAAUUUAGCACUUGGGAGGAUGGACAGGACCGGCUUGCUUUCAAAGCCAUGGUGUCCACAGUGAGG